GAUGAACGCUGGCGGCGUGCCUAAUACAUGCAAGUAGAACGCUGAAGGAAGGAGCUUGCUCUUUCCGGAUGAGUUGCGAACGGGUGAGUAGCGCGUAGGUAACCUGCCUGGUAGCGGGGGAUAACUAUUGGAAACGAUAGCUAAUACCGCGUAACAGUAGAUGUUGCAUGAUAUCUACUUAAAAGGUGCAAUUGCACCACUACCAGAUGGACCUGCGUUGUAUUAGCUAGUUGGUGAGGUAACGGCUCACCAAGGCGACGAUUCAUAGCCGACCUGAGAGGGUGAUCGGCCACACUGGGACUGAGACACGGCCCAGACUCCUACGGGAGGCAGCAGUAGGGAAUCUUCGGCAAUGGACGGAAGUCUGACCGAGCAACGCCGCGUGAGUGAAGAAGGUUUUCGGAUCGUAAAGCUCUGUUGUAAGAGAAGAACGAGUGUGAGAGUGGAAAGUUCACACUGUGACGGUAUCUUACCAGAAAGGGACGGCUAACUACGUG
rnacentral:rRNA from 1 species